UCUCGGUGGGCACGGGGACCAGGAAGGCCUGUCCCCCCAGCGGCAGGUAGACCUGGGAGGCCGGUCCCUCCGCGGGCAAGGGAACCAGCGAGGCCUGUCUCCUCUGCGGGCACGGGGGACCUUGGAGCCGGACCCUCAGCGGCCACGACGAGCACCGCGGCCUGUGACUCCGGAAACACCGGGACCGUGGGGAGGCCUAUCCAUCCUUGGCAUUGGGAAAAUCUCUGCUGAGCACCUCAUCUUCCUGCAGCAUUUCUGGAUGCCUCAGACAGCGUCAUUGCCAAACCAUCCUUGCAAGGGCAAAAGCCUUGGAACUUAA
rnacentral:lncRNA from 1 species